CAGCCGCCACGGUAAUACGGGGGGAGCUAGCGUUGUUCGGAAUUACUGGGCGUAAAGCGCACGUAGGCGGCUUUGUAAGUUAGAGGUGAAAGCCUGGAGCUCAACUCCAGAAUUGCCUUUAAGACUGCAUCGCUUGAAUCCAGGAGAGGUGAGUGGAAUUCCGAGUGUAGAGGUGAAAUUCGUAGAUAUUCGGAAGAACACCAGUGGCGAAGGCGGCUCACUGGACUGGUAUUGACGCUGAGGUGCGAAAGCGUGGGGAGCAAACAGGAUUAGAUACCCCCGUAGUCCCUGUCUCUUAUAC
rnacentral:rRNA from 1 species